rnacentral:lncRNA from 1 species
GUCGUUCGACUACAUGCAGGUGGUACGAGAGGGGCAGUCGGUUGUCAUCGAGGAGGGCGAGGAGGAGCAGGUGAUUGGGCUUCGCGAUGUUCUUUCUUGGAGUUUUGGAGUUACUGGAGUGCGUUCUUGAACGUUUCUUGGUUUCUUCUCGAGCAGGUGGAAUCGCCUCACGCCAAACACGCGCUCCCGGGAAAGGAAAAGGUAUAGCCUGAAUCUGGUCUUCUUGCUUGCUCGCCUGAAUCUGGUCUUCUUGCUUGCUCGCCUGAAUCUGAUCAUUUUCUUGUUCGGGGUGUGGAACUGUGAUCUCUUCAGUUUGUUGAAAUCUUGGGGAUGUUUUAGAGUAAUACAAGCUGAAUCUGGGACAAAUGCUGGGGACAGUUUGAUUAGGUAUCUCAUGAUUAUGACUCGGGGUUCUUCUUGCGGCGCAGUGUGAAUUUAGAGACGAACGGGCAUCUUGUUGUGAUUAUUCGAAACUGUUCAAGAUUUAGCUGUCCAAUCUUGUGCUUGUUGAUUCUUCUAUUCAGUGUGAUGACAUAUUUUGCUGCAAGUGGAAAAUGUGAGGAGAUUUGAGGAUCAUGUUGUGGCAGUGGUGUCUGCGAUACUUUGGCAAGAUAUCCUGAAGCCAAAAUGAAUCAGUUUUCGGUAUAAAUGAAUCGUAUUAUAGGAGAAGUUAAUCUCAAUGCUUGCACUGGAUUACUUAACUUGAUGUACAUUAUCUAGAUCCUCGGCCACUUUUAUGCAAAAGUGUUUGAUCUCUUACUCCACCCUGGAGUUUGGUCGAGA